AUGAGAUUUAAUAGAGAUACAAAGUCUUUCAUUACAUCUCAAUUUCUUUAUAUCUUGGUGACUAUGAGCAACAGAAUCCUCAAUAAUUGUCAUUCAAAGGCCCUAUAUGUUACCUUUAAUGUUAGGUGUGAAGCUACUGCAGAAUUAUCUUCUGAGGAAUAUUAUGUUAGUGUUGGUAAUUAUAAAUUUGGGCUUUCUUAG